CCUGGCUUGUCCCGGUGACUUCUCUCUCUUUUAAAUGGAAUGGAAUUGUUAAGAUUUAAAUGGAAUCUUAACACAAUGAAGAGACAGGGGUUAGUGUUUUUUCUCCCUAAAAUCUGCACUGAAAAGUUUAAUUCAACUGUGGCUCUACAUCAAUGAAGAGCUUUAAACAAACAAACAAACAAACAAACAAACAAAAAACAGAAUUUCAAAGAAAUAUAGAUUUUAAAUAGGUGAAGAAUGGCCUUUCAUGGAGACUUUCUUUUUUUACAAGACAUCGUCUUGAACAUUAACCUUGAGCCCCUAUUUGGACAAAUAACUGGAUUUUAUUUUCUGAUAUUCAUACUUGGAGCAUUUUUAGAACAAAAUACCAAAAGCCACACCACUGCAUUCAUCAUACUCAAGUAAAAAACUGAAACGAGCAUGACCAAAAUAAUUUUGGCUUUAUUAAAAAUCAUUAACUUCAGAUUUUUUUUUAAAAGGUAUAUUAAUAUUUUUUCAGCUAGUAUGAAAAAUACAAACUUCAAAUCCACUCAUAAGCAAAACAAGGAAAGGCACCUUCAACAGUACACAGGACGUGCCUCACAACUUCUACAGCUCUGCUCCGUCCCCCCACAGACUUGUUCCUACUCAGUGUUACAUGGAUACAAUAGAGAUCUCACACACCGUGGCUCGUUUCUGUUGUUGGCUACAGGCAGUCAGCACCACUAUCAUCGGGAAGAAAACCGUUUGUCAGUUGCACAAUCCAUAUCAGCUAGCAGUCUCACUUUGGUGUCACUUAGUUGAAGAAUUUUAGCCCAGCAGACACCUCAAUUAUUAGAAAAUGAACAAAUAGCAGAACCCACAGACACAUUUAAAUGAGAAAAAAGCUGGAAUGUUUAUGAUCUCCAGGCUUAACUUUGGUUUAAACUCAAAGUAUCCCUCUGUAAAUGCUAACUGAACGCUAGACUGCACACACAUCCAUUUCCCUGCUGCUGCCUUUAGCCUUUUAAUCCACUACAGAGGGAAAUGCUGCACCAUUCGAUUCCACACGUCUGGCUUUACCUGUUAUAAAAUACACAUUGAGAGUUACCGCCCGCUGCAGCAAUGAUGCUGCCGCAAUGAUGCUGCAGCAAUGAUGAUCAUUUGUAACACUUUUUUCUCUUUAUCCAAAUUCGUUUUACUGACACACAUGUCAAAUGUGUGAAAGCGCAAAAUCCAAUUCUUCUGUGCAACAGGUAACCUAUGCCAUUAUGUGGAAUGAGGUAUGCUUCAUGCAAUCUUAAAAAACAAAACAUGUAUUAACUGAACAAGAAUAUGUCUAAAUGACAAAGAAAGACCAAAAAUUAUUAUUUGCCGAUUUGAACAAUUUGCAACAAAUGAUGAGAGACAUGUAAAGAAAGAAAGACUUGGCUAAAACCCGAGCUGAAAACCUGCAGAGUAAGAAAAAUGUCAAAGUGUGACAUUUGCUAAUCGCCCCUUCAGAAAACAAGCUAGGGGAACAUGGCUGAAAAGGACGAGUCGUCUGCAGGCCACUGGCAUCUCAGAUGCCUAGAAGAUACGGACACCAUUUUCCAAACAGAGUCUCUUUGCCGUACAUCAACGCAGACUGAAGGAAUCACACUUGAAGUGACGGCAAAGGAAAAGUCUUGCAGUUCACAGACAGACCUAGAAAGAGAGCACAGCAUUCCUGAGAAACAGUGCUGACACUUACCACAACUUUAAAAGAUUCAGAACGUUAAAAACAGUCCAAGUUCAGACAA
ensembl:lncRNA